GUCGUUAAGAGCACAAAGAAGUGUUUUAAAGACACUUUCUAACGAUGUCAAAAGCACAUGUAAGUUCUAAAUAUAUGUAAAAAUAUCAAGCAGUUUUGAAAGCACUUCUUAUAACUUGAAGAACUCUAUUUGCAACUUCUUCUCCAAAUUGCAAAGGCAUGGUUUUGCUUAGAUCCAUCUCAAUCGCCUUCUUCUUAAUCAUAAGGUCUCUUUUCUCCAUCAAACUCCUUUCCUCUUCUUCAAUCUCUCUUCCUCCAUUCAUGCAUAAUUCCAUCCAUAUCCUCAUUACCUCCUUUGAGAUCGGACCGAUCUCUUCCCGAACAAUCUCUUCCACGCGCUCAGACUUGCUCUCCUCGCACUUCACACUCACCAAAAUUCCUGUUGACGAAACGACUUUACGAAAGUAGAGCGAUGAUGAGAAGUAAGGGCUCACUUCUGG
rnacentral:misc_RNA from 1 species